AACGAGCGCUGGCGGCAGGCCUAACACAUGCAAGUCGAGCGGACCUUUCGGGGUCAGCGGCGGACGGGUGAGUAACGCGUGGGAAUAUGCCCUUCUCUACGGAAUAGUCCUGGGAAACUGGGGGUAAUACCGUAUACGCCCUUUGGGGGCAAGAUUUAUCGGGGAAGGAUUAGCCCGCGUUGGAUUAGGUAGUUGGUGGGGUAAUGGCCUACCAAGCCGACGAUCCAUAGCUGGUUUGAGAGGAUGAUCAGCCACACUGGGACUGAGACACGGCCCAGACUCCUACGGGAGGCAGCAGUGGGGAAUCUUAGACAAUGGGGGCAACCCUGAUCUAGCCAGGCCGCGUGAGUGAUGAAGGCCUUAGGGUUGUAAAGCUCUUUAAGCUGGGAAGAUAAUGACGGUACCAGCAGAAGAAGCCCCGGCUAACUCCGUG
rnacentral:rRNA from 1 species